rnacentral:rRNA from 1 species
AACGAACGCUGGCGGCAUGCCUAACACAUGCAAGUCGAACGAAGCCUUCGGGCUUAGUGGCGCACGGGUGCGUAACGCGUGGGAAUCUGCCCUUUGGUUCGGAAUAACAGUUGGAAACGACUGCUAAUACUGGAUGAUGACGAAAGUCCAAAGAUUUAUCGCCAGAGGAUGAGCCCGCGUAGGAUUAGCUAGUUGGUGUGGUAAAGGCGCACCAAGGCGACGAUCCGUAGCUGGUCUGAGAGGAUGAUCAGCCACACUGGGACUGAGACACGGCCCAGACCCCUACGGGAGGCAGCAGUGGGGAAUAUUGGACAAUGGGCGAAAGCCUGAUCCAGCAAUGCCGCGUGAGUGAUGAAGGCCCUAGGGUUGUAAAGCUCUUUUACCCGGGAUGAUAAUGACAGUACCGGGAGAAUAAGCCCCGGCUAACUUCGUGCCAGCCGCCGCCGUAA